rnacentral:tRNA from 1 species
CGGAUGUAGUUUAGUGGUAAAACUCCAGCCUUCCAAGCUGGAUUCGUCGGUUCAAUUCCGUCCAUCCGC